CAGUAGCCGCGGGAAUACGGAGGGUGCAAGCGUUAAUCGGAAUUACUGGGCGUAAAGCGCACGCAGGCGGUCUGACAAGUCAGAUGUGAAAUCCCCGGGCUUAACCUGGGAACUGCAUUUGAAACCGUCAGGCUGGAGUCUUGUAGAGGGGGGUGGAAUUCCAGGUGUAGCGGUGAAAUGCGUAGAGAUCUGGAGGAAUACCGGUGGCGAAGGCGGCCCCCUGGACAAAGACUGACGCUCAGGUGCGAAAGCGUGGGGAGCAAACAGGAUUAGAUACCCCUGUAGUCCCUGUCUCUUAUAC
rnacentral:rRNA from 1 species